AUGGAAAAAAUGAAGGAUGCGCCGAUACCAGAAGGUGAAGAGCUAAAGUCUGUUGUUGAAAUUGUUGAAGAAGUGCUCAAGACCGAAGUCAAGAAAAGCACAUUCCUCAGGAAUGUUGGGCUCCAGUCAUGUAGGAACAACUCUGGCAAAGCAACUGCUGACGUGGCUGCUCAUGUUCAUGACCUUGAGCAGAAGCUGGAGAGGUCUGAGCUUCAAGCUGAAGUGAUGCAAGAAGAAUUGGUGGCAAUCGAGAUGAAGGCGGAAGAAUCUGAAGCUGCACGCGACAAGGAACUUGAGCUGCUGCACAAGAAGUCUCAAGAGCAGGAAGAGAAGUUAGCCCACUUGAUGGCUCUCAUUGGAGCU
rnacentral:rRNA from 1 species